GAUGAAGAACGCAGCGAAAUGCGAUAAGUAAUGUGAAUUGCAGAAUUCAGUGAAUCAUCGAAUCUUUGAACGCACAUUGCGCCACUUGGUAUUUCCGAGGGGCAUGCCUGUUCGAGCGUCAUUAUAACCCCUCAAGCUCAGCUUGGUGUUGGGGCCUGCUGCACUGGCAGCCCUUAAAAUCAGUGGCGGCGCCAUCUGGCUCUAAGCGUAGUAAUUCUUCUCGCUAUGGAGUCCUGGUGGAUGCUUGCCAUCAACCCCCAAUUUUUCUAUGGUUGACCUCGGAUCAGGUAGGGAUACCCGCUGAACUUAAGCAUAUCAAUAAGCGGAGGA
rnacentral:misc_RNA from 1 species